CCUGGCAAAUGCACCUGGGAGAAACCAGCUCUCUUUUUUUUUCAGGGUAACAAGCUAGCUUGCUCCAGAAGUAUCCUACAGCAGAGAAGAUGCCCAGGAGGGCCUGGGGGUGAAACAGAGCAACCCAGUUGGGCAUAGAGGACCCACGCCUGCACAGGAGCACGUACAGCUUGUACAGACUACAGGGUUCAGCCUCUUCACCCAGGACUCAUGGCAGACACUUUCAUUUUCUACGAGACAAGAUGCAUCUGCAGAGGCCUCAGUCUGAAGCGACGUGUGCCAGUUACAGCACCUGCCCGUGAGCCCCCGCUGCCAGCGGCUGCGGUCUGACGGGGAAGUUCACGCCGUCUGCUUGCUCGGCAAAACGCUUCACCCGCUCAAGCUCUUCUGUUCCACCCUACGUCUUUCAAAAUUUGAGGAAGAGAUUUUAAUCUCCGCAGUCCCUUUCAUUUUCAGUUACUAGCAGGCAAAAUAUAUUUAGAUGCUUCAUGCUGUAAGGUUUAUGGGUGAUUAACUUUUAUUACAGAGAAGAUAUUCGAGCGGUGACACUUUCUCCUGCCACCAGGAAUGCAAAGAGACAGGCCUGCGUUUGAAGCACAGCACCCACAGAUAGCACUGCACACACCUGGGCCUUAAGGCAAGGGGCGAACAGCAGCAGUAAGAAAAUCCCCUCUUCUGGAGGAACGCAAGAACAAAAGGUGGCAGGCCUCUGUCUGUUCCUGCCAGGGAGGUAAACGCUGCACGAGCUUGGAGUUGCUGACCUGCCUCUCAGGUGGAAGUCAAGAUCAUGGGAUAGGACUGGCAUGUCUGCGUGUGUGUCAAAGAGCACGAGUGAUCUAUGUAUGCAUCCUCUGUGCCUUGAGCAUCCUGAGAGACCCAAGGAACAACCCAGGCCCGCAGCCCGGUUUUCACUUGCUUUCUGCCAUGCUCACACCUUCACCCGCACUGUGCUGAAAUAUAAACCAAGGUCUGUGUUCUUUGAGUGGGCCAGGAGUGCUGAGUGCCCCGGCAGGGUUGUUCUGGUGGGUCGCACUGGUACUCCUUCAGCAGUCCAAUCAAUUCUGAUGGGG